rnacentral:misc_RNA from 1 species
GAUGAAGAACGCAGCGAAAUGCGAUAGGUAAUGUGAAUUGCAGAAUUCAGUGAAUCAUCGAAUCUUUGAACGCACCUUGCACCCUUUGGCCAUUCCGAAGGGCAUGCCUGUUUGAGUAUCAUGAACACCUCAACUCUUCAUGGUUUUCCAUGAUGAGCUUGGACUUUGGGGGUCUUGCUGGCCUGUGGGUCGGCUCCUCUCAAAUGAAUCAGCUUGCCGGUUUUUGGUGGGCAUCACAGGUGUGAUAACUAUCUACGCUUGUGGUUUUCCACCAGGGUAACCUUCAGCAGUGGAGGUUCACUGGAGCUUACAAAUGUCUCUCCUCUGUGAGGACAGCCCUUUGAAUGUUUGAUCUCAAAUCAGGUAGGACUACCCGCUGAACUUAAGCAUAUCAAUAAGCGAGGA